GGGUUGUGAGGUUAAGCGACCAAGCGUACACGGUGGAUGCCCUGGCAGUCAGAGGCGAUGAAGGACGUGCUAAUCUGCGAAAAGCGCCGGCGAGGUGAUAUGAACCCUUGACCCGGCGAUGUCCGAAUGGGGAAACCCAGUGUGACUCGUCACACUAUCAUUAACUGAAUCCAUAGGUUAAUGAGGCGAACCGGGGGAACUGAAACAUCUAAGUACCCCGAGGAAAAGAAAUCAACCGAGAUUCCCCCAGUAGCGGCGAGCGAACGGGGAGGAGCCCAGAGCCUGAAUCAGCAGGUGUGUUAGUGGAAGCGUCUGGAAAGGCGCGCGAUACAGGGUGAGAGCCCCGUACACGAAAAUGCACCUGCUGUGAGCUCGAUGAGUAGGGCGGGACACGUGGUAUCCUGUCUGAAUAUGGGGGGACCAUCCUCCAAGGCUAAAUACUCCUGACUGACCGAUAGUGAACCAGUACCGUGAGGGAAAGGCGAAAAGAACCCCGGCGAGGGGAGUGAAAAAGAACCUGAAACCGUGUACGUACAAGCAGUGGGAGCACAGGUUUACCUGUGUGACUGCGUACCUUUUGUAUAAUGGGUCAGCGACUUAUAUUCUGUAGCAAGGUUAACCG
rnacentral:rRNA from 1 species